UUAAGUUUAGCGGGUAUCCCUACCUGAUCCGAGGUCAACCUGAAAAAAUUGGGGGUUACUGGCAAGCACACACCCGGGUCUCCGAAGCGAGAAGAAUUACUACGCUUGAAGCCGAACGGCACCGCCACUGAUUUUAAGGCCUGCCAGAAGCUGGCAGGACCCAAUACCAAGCAGAGCUUGAGGGUUGUAAUGACGCUCGA
rnacentral:misc_RNA from 1 species